rnacentral:rRNA from 1 species
GGGUUGUGAGGUUAAGCGAACAAGCGUACACGGUGGAUGCCCUGGCAGUCAGAGGCGAUGAAGGACGUGCUAAUCUGCGAAAAGCGCCGGUAAGGUGAUAUGAACCGUUAUAACCGGCGAUGUCCGAAUGGGGAAACCCGGUGCACUUCGGUGCAUCAUCGUUAGCUGAAUACAUAGGCUAACGAAGCGAACCGGGGGAACUGAAACAUCUAAGUACCCCGAGGAAAAGAAAUCAACCGAGAUUCCCCCAGUAGCGGCGAGCGAACGGGGAACAGCCCAGAGCCUGAAUCAGCUUGUGUGUCAGUGGAACGGUCUGGAAAGGCCGGCGAUACAGGGUGACAGCCCCGUACACGAAGGCACACAGGCUGUGAGCUCGAUGAGUAGGGCGGGACACGUGAUAUCCUGUCUGAAGAUGGGGGGACCAUCCUCCAAGGCUAAAUACUCCUGACUGACCGAUAGUGAACCAGUACCGUGAGGGAAAGGCGAAAAGAACCCCGGCGAGGGGAGUGAAACAGAACCUGAAACCGUGUACGUACAAGCAGUGGGAGCCUUCGUAAGAGGGUGACUGCGUACCUUUUGUAUAAUGGGUCAGCGACUUAUAUUCUGUAGCAAGGUUAACCGUAUAGGGGAGCCGAAGGGAAACCGAGUCUUAACCGGGCGUUAAGUUGCAGGGUAUAGACCCGAAACCCGGUGAUCUAGCCAUGGGCAGGUUGAAGGUUGGGUAACACUAACUGGAGGACCGAACCGACUAAUGUUGAAAAAUUAGCGGAUGACCUGUGGCUGGGGGUGAAAGGCCAAUCAAACCGGGAGAUAGCUGGUUCUCCCCGAAAGCUAUUUAGGUAGCGCCUCGUGAACUCAUCUCCGGGGGUAGAGCACUGUUUCGGCUAGGGGGCCAUCCCGGCUUACCAACCCGAUGCAAACUGCGAAUACCGGAGAAUGUUAUCACGGGAGACACACGGCGGGUGCUAACGUCCGUCGUGAAGAGGGAAACAACCCAGACCGCCAGCUAAGGUCCCAAAGUCAUGGUUAAGUGGGAAACGAUGUGGGAAGGCCCAGACAGCCAGGAUGUUGGCUUAGAAGCAGCCAUCAUUUAAAGAAAGCGUAAUAGCUCACUGGUCGAGUCGGCCUGCGCGGAAGAUGUAACGGGGCUAAACCAUGCACCGAAGCUGCGGCAGCGACACUAUGUGUUGUUGGGUAGGGGAGCGUUCUGUAAGCCUGCGAAGGUGUGCUGUGAGGCAUGCUGGAGGUAUCAGAAGUGCGAAUGCUGACAUAAGUAACGAUAAAGCGGGUGAAAAGCCCGCUCGCCGGAAGACCAAGGGUUCCUGUCCAACGUUAAUCGGGGCAGGGUGAGUCGACCCCUAAGGCGAGGCCGAAAGGCGUAGUCGAUGGGAAACAGGUUAAUAUUCCUGUACUUGGUGUUACUGCGAAGGGGGGACGGAGAAGGCUAUGUCGGCCGGGCGACGGUUGUCCCGGUUUAAGCGUGUAGGCUGACUUUCCAGGCAAAUCCGGAAGGUUAAGGCUGAGGCGUGAUGACGAGGCACCACGGUGCUGAAGUGACAAAUGCCCUGCUUCCAGGAAAAGCCUCUAAGCAUCAGGUAACAUCAAAUCGUACCCCAAACCGACACAGGUGGUCAGGUAGAGAAUACCAAGGCGCUUGAGAGAACUCGGGUGAAGGAACUAGGCAAAAUGGUGCCGUAACUUCGGGAGAAGGCACGCUGACAUGUAGGUGAAGCCCCUGCGGGUGGAGCUGAAGUCAGUCGAAGAUACCAGCUGGCUGCAACUGUUUAUUAAAAACACAGCACUGUGCAAACACGAAAGUGGACGUAUACGGUGUGACGCCUGCCCGGUGCCGGAAGGUUAAUUGAUGGGGUUAUCGCAAGAGAAGCUCCUGAUCGAAGCCCCGGUAAACGGCGGCCGUAACUAUAACGGUCCUAAGGUAGCGAAAUUCCUUGUCGGGUAAGUUCCGACCUGCACGAAUGGCGUAAUGAUGGCCAGGCUGUCUCCACCCGAGACUCAGUGAAAUUGAACUCGCUGUGAAGAUGCAGUGUACCCGCGGCAAGACGGAAAGACCCCGUGAACCUUUACUACAGCUUGACACUGAACAUUGAGCCUUGAUGUGUAGGAUAGGUGGGAGGCUUUGAAGCGUGGACGCCAGUCUGCGUGGAGCCGACCUUGAAAUACCACCCUUUAAUGUUUGAUGUUCUAACCUGGCGCCAUAAUCUGGCGUGGGGACAGUGUCUGGUGGGUAGUUUGACUGGGGCGGUCUCCUCCCAAAGUGUAACGGAGGAGCACGAAGGUCAGCUAAUCCUGGUCGGACAUCAGGAGGUUAGUGCAAUGGCAUAAGCUGGCUUGACUGCGAGAGUGACGGCUCGAGCAGGUGCGAAAGCAGGUCAUAGUGAUCCGGUGGUUCUGUAUGGAAGGGCCAUCGCUCAACGGAUAAAAGGUACUCCGGGGAUAACAGGCUGAUACCGCCCAAGAGUUCAUAUCGACGGCGGUGUUUGGCACCUCGAUGUCGGCUCAUCACAUCCUGGGGCUGAAGUAGGUCCCAAGGGUAUGGCUGUUCGCCAUUUAAAGUGGUACGCGAGCUGGGUUUAGAACGUCGUGAGACAGUUCGGUCCCUAUCUGCCGUGGGCGCUGGAGAAUUGAGGGGGGCUGCUCCCAGUACGAGAGGACCGGAGUGGACGCAUCACUGGUGUUCGGGUUGUCAUGCCAAUGGCACUGCCCGGUAGCUAAAUGCGGAAGAGAUAAGUGCUGAAAGCAUCUAAGCACGAAACUUGCCCCGAGAUGAGUUCUCCCUGAGACUAUAAGUCUCCUGAAGGAACGUUGAAGACGACGACGUUGAUAGGCCGGGUGUGUAAGCGCAGCGAUGCGUUGAGCUAACCGGUACUAAUGAACCGUGAGGCUUAACCUUACAACGCCAAAGAAGU